UAUGCAAAUAAGCUGUAUUUGCCACUUUCUUGACGUCUGCGCUCCAUUCUAAUCCCGAUUUUAGUUGCAUAUUCGCAUUAUUGUGAUCAUUGUUUAAUGUACUUCUUUCAUACAUAUCUAGAAAGAAAGUCUUAGGAAUUACAGUAUCUUUUAGGAGUUAAUAUAAUAAUCCGACAAAAAUAACAAGAUAAUAUACUUCCAUUUUUGUUUUCCUUGGUUUUGUUUUGAAUUGAGCUCUAGUUUCAUUAUCCUUUUCCUUCCAUGGAGACAUACGAGGUCUGUCGGGAAACUAUUCGGCCAUUGUUAAUAUGACAAGAGCGGUGUGUACGACAGCGGCGUAACCCGGCAGCAGAGGCGAGUGGGCCGGAGUGCGCAUGCGUGAACAAUGGCGCCUUCGCCCUACGAGUCAGCGGGGCGCUAGACGCUGUUGAUUGAGCAAAAGUACCGUGUGGCCGUCACAUCAGAAAUAAGCCAGAAGAGCAAUGGAUCUAUGUCAAAUUUCGCAUUAAGCUUGAACACUCCUCCGUGGAAACUAUUCGGGUGAUUCAGAAGGUUUUCAGGCAUGAUGCAGUGAGUUCAGCACCAAUAAAAGUGAGGCACAGACGCUUCACAGAUGGUGGAGACACGUUCUGGAAGGCCUGCAGCACGCAGAACACCUGAGAGUGUUGAACGUGUGGGUUAGGUUAAGGGAUGCCGGGAGAACUGUGGGAGGUCACAAGGCCUUUGACCUAGACCUGAGAGUUACACCAUCAGAUUCCCUGGUUCUGAGGCUUUUGGACUUGGAUUGAGCUGUGCUACCUGCUUCCUUCGUUUCCAGCUUGCAAACCUCCUAUUGUGGGAAUUCUCCGUCUCUGUAAUCAUAAUCUGUUUUCUGGAGCUCUUCGAUGCUCUCGAGUGGAUGGAAUUCUAAACUGUAGCAGAAAUGUAUUGAUAUCCAAAUGGGUUUCUUGGAACUGCCAGAUUUCAUCUUACCAAUAACUAAUAUGAACUUCAAUCAAGCCACAUAAAUCUCUGUCCAAGCCACAUCCUCGUGUUAGCACGCCACCUGUCUUGAUCUGUGCAAACAGCUGCACCACAAUCUUCAAAGUGAUUGAAUGAUUUACCUAAAUCUCUGACUUAAAAACAUUCAUUAAAAGUGUCCUAACACUGUAUAUAGUCGUUGCGUAUAUAUGCUUGCUUGUUCAUCCCAAGAAACUUAUUUAAUUUUAUUUUUUUAUAACAACUGUGCACUUGGACCCACACUGGGAUCCAUGGUUGUUAGGCGGUUGGCAGCACAAACCCACCAGCCUGGUAAGAAGAGAGCCAAAAUGUGCUACGCAAUAUAUAGAAGCUACUUUUGCUUCUCUAUCGGGUUUGUCAUCUGCUAAGCCUUAAAUUCCUUCUAGCAGCACCUUUACCUUUUACAUAUUUCCCCAUUAUAAUGCCAGUUCCUAUGCCUAUCUUUCUAAGUGAAAUCACUUAAAAAAACAUAACUUUGCAUUGCAAAUUGGAACAUCCAAGUUCACUACAUUGAUAUCCUCUGAAACCACAUAGUGUGAUAAAAAAACUUCUUGCUAGUAUAAUUGAUGUUAGGAAUAUUCAGUAAAUCUCAAUUCAGCAAGUAUUUGUUGAGAUGCAAUGAGAUACAAUUCAUUCAUUAGGGAGAUAUUUAUUGAAUGUCCAUUAAGUGAAAGGUAUUUUUCUGCUAUCAGAAUGUAAGCAAAGAGUAAGAGGGAUACAAUUCUCUCCUAUAAACAGUUUUGGAAAUAUGAAGGUUAUCAAGCCAUGGGGAUUUCAAAAGAAAUGAGACAUUUGCCUAAGCAUGAAAAGAGUUUAUUCAAAGAAAACAACAAAAAACAUGAAGUACUACAAACAGUGUGAAAAUGUCAUAGUUAAAGCACAAGUGAGUAAAAUGAUUGAAAAUGAAAUGUCAGCUACAUAAUAAAAAGUGCAGUGAAGGAAAAUAAACAAAAAAUGGAUCAAUUGUCAGCUAAUGAUGUGGCGCUUGCUAUUUUAUAUAGAGAGGUAAUCCUGAUAAAAUUGCAUAUUUGAAAUGAGGGAUGAAUCAUGUGAAUAUUUAAAGGAAGGCCUUUGCCAAGACCAGUAAAAUGCAAAUAUAAAUUCCCUCAGAAGAAAAAAAAAAUGACAUUCUUCCCCAAUUUUCUGCAUUUAUUUAUUUUUGAGAAACAGUAAAGAUAAUGGAGAGACUAGCGAAUCUGGAAAUGUGAGGAAGCGCCCGGCGCCAGAUCACUCAGGUACACCUUGGUAAUGACGUCAGGUUUGGAGUAUUUCCUGAAUGUGAUGGAAGCCAUUGCGUUAUUUUUGUUAAGUGAAUUAUGUGAUCCUACAUUUAUUUGUGAAAAAUAGAAAAUGAAGGAGUUGGAAAUAUUGGGUAGAGGGACAGUUGUUAGCAGUCUGUUGAAGGUGUCUAUAGAAAUAUGAUUUAUCUAGAAUGCUGGAGGUAAUAUAAUGAUAGAGUUCAGAUACAUUUAGAGAGUAAAUAGGAUACUUACCAAUGGCUUAGGUGUGAAUUGUUUAAUAAGCAAGAAGAUCAAAGGUUCAAGAGCAAUGGCUACAAAGAAAUAAUCAAGGAACAGAAUCCCAAACAGAAAAGCACUUCAGAAUGAGCAUGAAACUAUAGUGGCAUCCAAACAGAGGUGAGUUCCUGGUCUGGUAGAAAUAGCAGAGUGGUAAGCCUGACAUAGACUUUAUAGCCUCAGACAGAAAUUAGAAAAUCUUUUGAUGACAGUAUAAGUGAGCAGGACGUAGCAGAGUCUGUAAUAGCCUAAAAUGCAACAAGAAAUUAUUUAGUUCAAUAAUGUACAAUUCUUCUCCGCACCAGAAUUUUAAUGAUUAAGUAGCCAUGAGCUAUAAAAAAGAGAGAAUUUAUGAAAUUUUGGACAAUUUUGGAUUGAUUGGACUCCAAUUCUGCAACAGAUAUCCAUAGAAUGAUAAUGUGCACAUUUAUAUAUAUG